CACAUCCACAUCUGCUAUCUCUCUGUGACUCUAUCCGUCUCAACAGAGCAAACAAACCAACCUCCCUCCUGCUUCUAGGGUUUCUCUCUUUCCCCCCUUUUUAAUUUCUUCUUUCCUCCUGCAAUUAUUUUCUUCAAUUCUUCUCAAAAGCUCCUCAUUUGGUACGGUUCUUGUCUAUGAUCCUGUUUUUCUCCCUUUUUUUCCCAUACCCUUUUCCUCCAUGCACUUCGCCUGCUUUCUUUAUGCUUAUUUCUCAUUUUCAAAGCUUAUGAUCAUCUGCUUCAUCCACUUUUUGUUGUUUGAUCUGUGGUUUUUCUGUUUCUCAUGCUCCCCAAAUGGAAGUUUUUGCUCUGUUUUCUUUUUUCCUUUCAAGGAAGAAAUUCAACACAUUUGGCAGUGCUUGGAUUUGAUAAGAGCUCUGAUAAUCUGAGCUCAGAGAGAUUUGAAAAUUCAUUUGGAAAGAUGGGUGUUAUGUGUGAUUUUUGUGGGGAUCAAAGGGCAAUGGUUUUCUGUCGAUCUGAUGUUGCUUGUUUGUGCUUAUCUUGUGAUCGUAAUGUUCACUCGGCUAAUGCCUUGUCGAGGCGACAUACAAGAACACUGCUAUGUGAAAGAUGCCAUUUGCAACCUGCCUCAGUAAGAUGUAUUGAUGAGAGGGUUUCUCUGUGUCAAAAUUGUGACUGGACGGGUCAUGGCACGUCUACGACUUCAUCAUCGCACAAGAGGCAAGCCAUCAAUUGUUACUCUGGUUGUCCAUCAGCUGCUGAGCUUUCUUCCAUCUGGUCCUUUGUUUUGGAGGUUCCCUCUGUGAAUGAUGCUUGUGAGAAAGAGAUGGGAUUGAUGAGCAUUUCUGAGACCGACUUGACGGGAGCUUCGAGCCCUUUGGAGAAUAACAACGCCUGUCGAAGAAUGCCCGAGUCGACUGAAGCCAGAGAUGUUUGCAGCAGGGACAAAUCAAAUAUUUUGGUUGGAUCAUCUUCACUCUCGGACUUUGGCUCUAGGCCUCACAUUUCAGAUCAGCCCGUUGAAUUGGCUAAUAUGGCUGUACCCAAGUUUUGCUGUCCUGGAACAAAACUUCCCGGAUUCUGCGACGACGACGACGACAUCUACAAGGAGUUUGAUAUGGAUGAAAUGGAUUUGAAUCUCGAAAAUUACGAGGAGCUAUUUGGUAUGAGCCUUAAUCACUCUGAAGAUCUUUUUGAGAACGGUGGAAUCGAUAGCCUUUUCGAGGCCAAAGGCUUUGACGAUUCAGUUUGCCACAGUGCAGUUGCUGCAGAGGGCUCUUCUGUUGGAGUGGUCAAACCAAUGCAGCCAGCCUGCAGCAAUGGUGCAUCUGCUGACUCGGUUAUGAGUACUAAAACCGAACCGAUUCUCUGUUUUAAUUCAAGGCAAGCAUCGGGUGUGUCGUUUUCUGGCCUUACUGGUGAGAGUAGUGCUGGUGAUUAUCAAGACUGUGGAGCUUCUUCAAUGCUUCUAAUGGGAGAGCCUCCUCCUUGGUGUGCUCCUGGCACUGAAAGUUCGAUCCCAUCUUCUGAUCGUAACAAUGCCGUUCUACGUUACAAGGAGAAAAAGAAGACGCGCAAAUUUGAGAAACGAGUUAGAUACGCCACACGCAAAGCUCGAGCCGAUGUCAGAAGGCGAGUGAAGGGACGCUUUGUGAAGGUUGGAGAGGCUUAUGAUUACGACCCGUUGAGCCAGACUAGAAGCUGCUGAGUACAAUUUUUAACUAUGCUUUACAAAAAGGAAUGAAUCACUCUAAUGUCUGCUUGGAAAGAUACAUACUUUAUUUAUCUAACCAGGGGAUGAUUUUGAUGCAUGAUGAUAAGCUGUCUCAUUAUAUCACAGGAAGGUUCGACGAAAGAUCGCAUCCAAAACAGCGGUUCGGAAGGUUCCACGACCAAACUUUCCGGGGAGAACUCGAAAAGGGUGUAUAGAUCAGAGCUUCAAUAAGAGACAGUCAGUCACCAUAAGAUUUGGGUCAAGCUUUGAGGGCAGCUCCUCUGAAACUAUCUGUUCACUGAUCCCUUGUUGCCCGCGAUGGCCGAAAUAUUAUUUUGUUUGUAUAGCAUAGAGUCAGAAUAUUUUACAGCACGUCGAGUUGAGUUGAGUUAGUAGCAGUUGAGUUGAGUAUGGGUUCCAAGGUUGAACAUAAGAUUUUCUCUUUUCCACUUGUAAAUGUAAGGGAUAGAUUGCAUAUGCAUUUGAGAGAGAUUUGUUAAUUGUAUUCAUACCUUGUAAAUUUA